rnacentral:rRNA from 1 species
AGAGUUUGAUCCUGGCUCAGAUUGAACGCUGGCGGCAUGCUUUACACAUGCAAGUCGAACGGUAACGCGGGGGCAACCCUGGCGACGAGUGGCGAACGGGUGAGUAAUACAUCGGAACAUAUCCAGUAGCGGGGGAUAACCUAUCGAAAGAUGGACUAAUACCGCAUACGAUCUACGGAUGAAAGCAGGGGACCGCAAGGCCUUGCACUAUUGGAGUGGCCGAUGUCGGAUUAGCUAGUUGGUGAGGUAAAGGCUUACCAAGGCGACGAUCCGUAGCUGGUCUGAGAGGACGAUCAGCCACACUGGAACUGAGACACGGUCCAGACUCCUACGGGAGGCAGCAGUGGGGAAUUUUGGACAAUGGGCGCAAGCCUGAUCCAGCCAUGCCGCGUGAGUGAAGAAGGCCUUCGGGUUGUAAAGCUCUUUCGGUGAAGACGAAACGGUUAGUGUUAAUAACACUGACUAAUGACGGUACUCACAGAAGAAGCACCGGCUAACUACGUGCCAGCAGCCGCGGUAAUACGUAGGGUGCAGGCGUUAAUCGGAAUUACUGGGCGUAAAGCGUGCGCAGGCGGUUUGCUAAGACAGGUGUGAAAUCCCCGGGCUUAACCUGGGAAUUGCGCUUGUAACUGGCAAGCUAGAGUGUGGCAGAGGGGGGUAGAAUUCCACGUGUAGCAGUGAAAUGCGUAGAUAUGUGGAGGAAUACCGAUGGCGAAGGCAGCCCCCUGGGUUAACACUGACGCUCAUGCACGAAAGCGUGGGGAGCAAACAGGAUUAGAUACCCUGGUAGUCCACGCCCUAAACUAUGUCAACUAGUUGUCGGGGAAGAAAUUCCUUGGUAACGAAGCUAACGCGUGAAGUUG